AAAGACGUUAGUAAAUAUAUUACAUAACCUUGUCAAGGCUAAAUUAUAGGUUAAUCCCUUUACGACUUA
rnacentral:tRNA from 1 species